rnacentral:rRNA from 1 species
CAGUAGCCGCGGUAAUACGAAGGGGGCUAGCGUUGUUCGGAAUCACUGGGCGUAAAGCGCACGUAGGCGGACUUUUAAGUCAGGGGUGAAAUCCCAAGGCUCAACCUUGGAACUGCCUUUGAUACUGGAAGUCUUGAGUUCGGGAGAGGUGAGUGGAACUGCGAGUGUAGAGGUGAAAUUCGUAGAUAUUCGCAAGAACACCAGUGGCGAAGGCGGCUCACUGGCCCGAUACUGACGCUGAGGUGCGAAAGCGUGGGGAGCAAACAGGAUUAGAUACCCCGGUAGUCCCUGUCUCUUAUAC